CAGCAGCAGCCACGGUAAUACAGAGGGUGCGAGCGUUAAUCGGAUUUACUGGGCGUAAAGCGUGCGUAGGCGGCUUCUUAAGUCGGAUGUGAAAUCCCUGAGCUUAACUUAGGAAUUGCAUUCGAUACUGGGAAGCUAGAGUAUGGGAGAGGAUGGUAGAAUUCCAGGUGUAGCGGUGAAAUGCGUAGAGAUCUGGAGGAAUACCGAUGGCGAAGGCAGCCAUCUGGCCUAAUACUGACGCUGAGGUACGAAAGCAUGGGGAGCAAACAGGAUUAGAUACCCCAGUAGUCCCUGUCUCUUAUAC
rnacentral:rRNA from 1 species